UCUUGUUUUGAAUUAUUAUGCUUUGCACUGAAACACUGAUGCCGCGAUUAUACCUUUUUUGGGAGGGAAAAGGGUCCAAUAAAAAACGGGUUGCUGAAUUAACUAAACAAAUCGCUGGAUAACCUUGGGAUGAUGCUUUCUAGAUGAAUCCCAAAUUUUUAAGAGUGAAGUAAAUCAUAUCAAAUGGGAUCCCACAGGUUCACUACUGGCCUCAUGUUCAGACGAUAACACUGUAAAGAUAUGGAGUACGAAGCAAGAUAAGUAUAUUCAUGAUUUCUGAUCACACCAGAUUUCUGAUAAUCUUCCAAGACCAAAAUAUAUUGCCGAGAAGUAUAUCUAACUAUCAACAAUAUACACCAAAUUGUUUUAGAACAAUUUCCAUUUGACACACAUAACCAAGCUGGUAUUGCACACACUGGCGGCUUAAUGCCAUUGCUGAAGCUUCUUGACUCAAAAAACGGGUCUUUGCAACAUCAUGCUGCUUUUGCUCUUUAUGGCCUUGCUGAGAAUGAGGUAAGACGAACUAUAAGAACUCUAAUGAUAAAGAUAUUAUGUCAUAGAAAAUUUAUUACUGAAAACCAAAUUUAAUAGUAUCUUACUUUGUGCUAUAGGAUAAUGUGCCCGACUUUAUUAGAGUAGGUGGAAUUAAGAGACUCCAGGAUGGAGAGUUUACUGACAAUUAUUUGUAGGUUAUGUUGGUGUUUGAAUUUUUAAACUCAACCAUAUACUCAGGGUCUACCGGAAGUGAAUCAACCUAGUUUGACAAGUUACAAAAGUUCCUUAAUAAGCGUAGCUUAUUGUUUUGCAGAAGUCUCUUCAAAGCUUUAUUAACCAAUGCUAAUCUUUAAGUUUGUUUUGUUCAUUUUGUAUUUUGAAUUGCAAUUAUAUGUAAACUAUCUAAUACUAUUGGAAUUAUAUGCAUGUUUUUGAGUAAUUUGGAUGGAUGGUCACCAUAAGCCAAUUUUAUGUAAUGGAUAAACUAACUCAUGAGGGAUCCAAACUUUAUUGAUCCCUUGCUUGGUAACAACUAUGACUUACAUUCAAUUUGGAAGCAAUGCAUGAAUCAAAUCCCAUGACCAACACACCGAUUCAAAUUUGGUUGAGAUAUUGAAAGCAAAAACUAGCAAAGGCAAUGCAAAGAAGAGGUUGAAGAAUAUGAAUACUGGAAGCUCAAGUCUCUUUAUAUCUGCCUUUGGAGGUUAAGAACUUGGAUGGUUCUUUGUAUAAUCCUACUAAUUUUUUCAAGUAUGCCUUUGACUUUUAUAUUAUUCUUUACUUUCAACAUGCAUAUCAGCUAAUGAAAAUUAAUGAAGGGAAGCUAAUAUGUUGGGGUUCGAUAAUGGAUUAAGAGCCUUAAAAGAUGGAGGUUUCUAGGAAUAAAUUGAGACAAAGCUCAAGGAACCAACAUUGUAAAAAGUUCAAUUUGUAUGGUUUGAGUUGAAUGUGUAAGGUUGUGGGAGCAUUCCUUGUAUAGUUGUUGUAAGAGUUCAAGUUUUAUUAUCCUUCAAGUCUUCAACUAUUGUAUGUUCACUAUUUAGAUUUGUGAGAUACUUUUGUUUUGAGAAUUUGGAUGUAAAUGUUUCAAGAACGUAGUAUAUGUACUAAAACCACUUAUGGUGUAUAUGAAUCAAAUUUUUGUAUUUUGUUGA